rnacentral:lncRNA from 1 species
UCCCCAUUUGGCAUUUUCUAAGCUGGUGUAUCACUUCAAUAUAAAAUAUCUAUAUUAUAGCAUGUAACCAAUCAUAUGACUUCAAAAUAUGAGCCUCUCAAAAACAAAAAGAGGGAGUAAGUUCGUCACAAAACAAUGGCAAAGAAAUGCCUUGCCUCGUUCACACUUUCAUGAAUAACAUUGGCACAUGUACAGAUUGUAUUGUAUGAGAGUUUCUAAAUUAAAAGGCAAAAAUGUAAUUGAGAUGGAGCAGUUGGAAAUUCACCUAGAAUCAAGAUAUUCAAGUAUCUGCAUGUAUAUGGAUGUAUGUGCAUAUGCUUAAAAAUACAGGCUCAAAAAAGAUCUGUUAUAAUUGUGCAACAAGAGGGGUAGAAAGAGAAAUUAUAUUCAGAGCUCAUUAUUAGUAUGAGAAGUCAUUACUAAAAUGAUUGUUAAAAAUAAAUUGUCCAGGGUGCAUUUUGCACUGUUCAGUUAACUUAAAAAUGUGAUGAGCAUAAUAGUUAAUACCUUGUGCAUCAGGAGUGACAAAAGAACACAAAUAUGUGGACACAAACACUGCAAUAAGCAGGUCCCUCUUUGAUAAUGUCAUAGCAUCUGAUGUCGAGUUAGACUUGCGUUCAAGCUAUAACUGAGUAAUACAUUGCCCAGUUUAUGUGUACGAGCAUCCCAAAGUGACAAAUCUGUCAAAUACAACGAUGAUGCAGUUAACAUUUUCUUUUUCCCUUAAACCUUAAAAAAAUAUUAUUAUUAUUAUUAUUAUU